rnacentral:rRNA from 1 species
AAGGGUGAGUAAGGCGACGGCAACCAACCCCAUGGUUGGGCAUAACCGCGGGAAGCUGCGGAUAAUACCCAGCGAUGUUCGUAUCGGGCAUCCGAUGUGAACCAAAGUUUCGGCGCCGUGGGACGGGCCGUCGUGGUAUUAGGUAGUUGGCGGGGUAAUGGCCCACCAAGCCUAUGAUGCCUACCGGGCGUGCGAGCGUGGCCCGGCACACUGGGACUGAGACACUGCCCAGACUCCUACGGGAGGCUGCAGUCGAGAAUCUUCGGCAAUGGGCGCAAGCCUGACCGAGCGACGCCGCGUGGAGGAUGAAGGCCUUCGGGUUGUAAACUCCUGUCGAGGGGGAGGAAGGCGCAAGCUUGACCUAUCCCUGGAGGAAGCACGGGCUAAGUUCGUGCCAGCAGCCGCGGUAAGACGAACCGUGCGAACGUUAUUCGGAAUCACUGGGCUUAAAGCGCGUGUAGGCGGAUGGGGACGUCGGUUGUUGAAAGCCCCCGGCUCAACCGGGGAACUGGCGCCGAAACGCCCUGUCUUGAGGAGCGUAGGGGGACCUGGAACUUCCGGUGGAGCGGUGAAAUGCGUUGA